GCAUUGAAACAUAUAUUAUGCUGCUGCUGCAUCGCUUCCAUCGUGUCCGACUCUGUGCGACCCCACAGGCGGCAGCCCACCAGGCUCCCCCAUCCCUGGGAUUCUCCAGGCAAGAACACUGCAGUGGGUUGCCAUUUCCUCCUCCAGUGCAUGAAAGUGAAAAGUGAA